GACGAACGCUGGCGGCGUGCUUAACACAUGCAAGUCGAACGGAAAGGCCCUGCUUUUGUGGGGUGCUCGAGUGGCGAACGGGUGAGUAACAAGCGCGUAACCUGCCCUCGACUUUGGGCUAAAUUCCGGAAACUGGGGCUAAUACAGGCUAGGUGCUCCUGCUGCAUGGUGGGGGUUGGAAAGUUUCGGCGGUUGGGGAUGGACUCGUGGCUUGUCAGCGUGUUGGUGGGGUAGUGGCUUACUAAGGCUUUGACGGGUAGCCGGCCUGACGGGGUGACCGGCCACAUUGGGACUGAGAUACGGCCCAGACGUCUACGGGAGGCAGCAGUGGGGAAUAGUGCACAAUGGGCGGGAGCCUUAUGCAGCGACGCCGCGUGCGGGAUAACGGCCUUCGGGUUGUAAACCGCUUUCGCCUGUGACGAAGCGUGAUUGACGGUAAUGGGUAAAGAAGCACCGGCUAACUACGUG
rnacentral:rRNA from 1 species